GAAUCUGGGAGGACCAUCUCCUAAGGCUAAAUACUCUCUAGUGACCGAUAGUGAACCAGUACCGUGAGGGAAAGGUGAAAAGCACCCCGGAAGGGGAGUGAAAUAGAACCUGAAACCGUGUGCUUACAAGUAGUCAGAGCCCGUUAAUGGGUGAUGGCGUGCCUUUUGUAGAAUGAACCGGCGAGUUACGAUUUGAUGCAAGGUUAAGCAGUAAAUGUGGAGCCGUAGCGAAAGCGAGUCUGAAUAGGGCGUUUAGUAUUUGGUCGUAGACCCGAAACCAGGUGAUCUACCCUUGGUCAGGUUGAAGUUCAGGUAACACUGAAUGGAGGACCGAACCGACUUACGUUGAAAAGUGAGCGGAUGAACUGAGGGUAGCGGAGAAAUUCCAAUCGAACCUGGAGAUAGCUGGUUCUCUCCGAAAUAGCUUUAGGGCUAGCCUCAAGUGAUGAUUAUUGGAGGUAGAGCACUGUUUGGACGAGGGGCCCCUCUCGGGUUACCGAAUUCAGACAAACUCCGAAUGCCAAUUAAUUUAACUUGGGAGUCAGAACAUGGGUGAUAAGGUCCGUGUUCGAAAGGGAAACAGCCCAGACCACCAGCUAAGGUCCCAAAAUAUAUGUUAAGUGGAAAAGGAUGUGGCGUUGCCCAGACAACUAGGAUGUUGGCUUAGAAGCAGCCAUCAUUUAAAGAGUGCGUAAUAGCUCACUAGUCGAGUGACACUGCGCCGAAAAUGUACCGGGGCUAAACAUAUUACCGAAGCUGUGGAUUGUCCUUUGGACAAUGGUAGGAGAGCGUUCUAAGGGC
rnacentral:rRNA from 1 species